rnacentral:rRNA from 1 species
CAUGCAGGCGGUCGGACGCGUUUCCAGUGACAGCGGGUGGCUUACCUACCCGAGGGUUGGAAAGACGGUUUGACUUGAGGACUCGAGAGGGACACGGAAUUCCGGGUGGAGUGGUGAAAUGCGUAGAGAUCCGGAGGAACAUCGGAGGCGAAGGCAGUGUCCUGGCGAGUGACUGACGCUGAGGUGCGAAAGCUAGGGGAGCGAACGGGAUUAGAUACCCCGGUAGUCCUAGCCGUAAACGAUGACCACCAGGUGUGGGAGGUAUCGACCCCUUCCGUGCCGGAGUUAACACACUAAGUGGUCCGCCUGGGGAGUACGGUCGCAAGAUUAAA